CUAGUUGGUGAGGUAAAAGCUCACCAAGGCAACGAUCGGUAGCUGGUCUGAGAGGAUGACCAGCCACACUGGGACUGAGACACGGCCCAGACUCCUACGGGAGGCAGCAGUGGGGAAUUUUCCGCAAUGGGCGCAAGCCUGACGGAGCAAGACCGCGUGAGGGAGGAAGGCUCUUGGGUUGUAAACCUCUUUUCUCAGGGAAGAACACAAUGACGGUACCUGAGGAAUAAGCCUCGGCUAACUCCGUGCCAGCAGCCGCGGUAAUACGGAGGAGGCAAGCGUUAUCCGGAAUUAUUGGGCGUAAAGCGUCCGCAGGUGGCUUGUCAAGUCUGCUGUCAAAGGUCAAGGCUUAACCUUGAAAAGGCAGUGGAAACUGACAGGCUAGAGGGCUCUAGGGGUAGAGGGAAUUCCCCGGUGUAGCGGUGAAAUGCGUAGAGAUCGGGA
rnacentral:rRNA from 1 species